UCUGAGUACCGAGGCGACGGUGGUGUAGUGAUGGUGGUGGUGGUGGUGGUUCCAUAGCUUAACCGAAUCCAUUUUUUGAAUAAAAUGGGGGCGGCUUUGGGACUGAUGCGACGGAUUCAUCCUAAGCACUCGGAGAUGGCUCUCUCCACACUGCUUGGCCUCUUGCCUCACCUCUCCUCUGAUCACCUCUCUCAAGUCAAUCAACCUAUCUAGGGUGUGGUGUGGAGAUGUUUAGCCCCGACUCGCGUUUGGUUGCCGUGAAGGUUUAGGAAAAUGAAAGAAAAUUCAAUUUGAAUUUUGAAUUUUUGUAGAGUGAUAUUGAAGCCACCUAGUCCUAGCACUUGUAUUAGUAUAAAAAUUCAAUUUUGUCACCACUGUUACUGUUGAUUUGCUUGGAAGUUUCUAGCAGUGUUGAUGGAUUUUAAAAUUUUACAAUUUCUACUUUCUCUCUCUAUCAGCAUGUAAGCGUCUAAUAUUAUCUGUAUAUUUGACUGAAAUUUAUAGAAAUGGACGGUGUUGAUGAUUAGAAGAAGAAUCUGGAAGAGGAAAUUUUCAAAAACCCUUACCCUUUGUUUGGUUGUAGAGAAAACCGAGAGGAAAUUGAUAGGGGGAGAAAUUUUCAUGAUUGUGUGUCGUAUUUUCUUCUGGUUUUCUGAAAAUGAAAAUUCCCUCUCAACUAAUGUCAAGUGCUUAUAACAGAAAAUUCCCUAUCUUAUUUUUUACUUUGCGUGAUUAAUAGAAUUUAUUAUUCUUUAAAUGAAAUUUUAUUCAGGAAAUGUAAUUUUUGUCGAAACUAGCACUAUGUUUAGUGAGAGUGUGGUAUCUGAAAUAGCACAAAGUGGGCAAGAGGAGCAAAACAAUGAAACCUAGAAGGAGAGUGGGGCUUCAAAGCCCUAGCCGGAGGAGGAUUCAAAGUCUAGACAUAAUGACCUCAUGCUCAAGUCUGUUGAUCCAAACAACCAGGCAUUUGAGGUCAGCCCUGCUUUAGGGUUUCAAGUAAAAUCUGAUUCUCUUUCUACUGAUUCUGUGUCAGUUAAUGAAAAUAUUGAACUAGAGGAUAACAUGCUACUAUUAGAGAGUAUGCAAAUUGAUUUGAAUUAUAUUUUGUGAUGAAUCUCUCAGGGCAUUUCAUACUUCAUUCUUCUUAUGAUUUUGGGAAUUACCAUGAAAAAUUUGUUUCACUCAAUCUCAUUCAUGUUAUGUUGCAAUAUCUUUCAUUAACGGGCUAGAUAUUGUUCAGCAUGGUCCUCCUCCUUUUUGGACCAAGGAUCUGUUUUCAGGCCCUCUUUUUGUGAUGUGUUUCUGAUUAUCUUAGAUUUCAUGCAUAUAAGAGAAUGGAAAGUUAAAAAGUAGAAAUGUGUAGAUUUUACUUAUGUUUUCCUUUUCAACAAAUGAGCAGCAAGGCAACCAAGGGUGGGCAGAGAGUCAUUGCUCGCAGAAUAGCAAAUGGUCAUUCAAGAAUAACCAUGUAGCAUCUUUGCCUCCGUCCAAGUUCUCUGAUGCAAUCAAAAUCUAAAAGCUUGCCAUCAUCGUCAACCUAAGCAAAUAUGAACUUUUAUGUGGUGGCUCAGUCAACACAAACUAGGAACUCUUUUAGGUCCCUUGAUUUGUGCUCCCGUCACAGAUUCUGCCCCUUUCAUGUGUAAAACAACUUGUUAUUCAUAAGGAUGUGCAAGUGUUAAUUUUGAAUUGCUUCAUUGAAUUAAAUAUCAUUUUUUUUUAUAAUUAAUUUGAGCUAAUCUAUUUUGAGAGCAAUGAGAGUAGAAUGUAGUUCUGGAUUUGAUGGUCCUGAUCUGCUGAGUACUUAUGAAAAUAAGAAAGUAUUGGAAUGACUGAUGCUUGAAAAUGGCAUUUAUGCCUUUAAUUUUCCAAAUGGUUUCAGGCAGCAACUCUCUUUGUGAUUCCUGGACUUGAUAAAUUGGGUUAGGUUAAUGUCCAUUAGGACUAAAACUAGGAAUUUCCUGCAAUAGGCACUUGAACUCCCUAAACUUUUGUGAAAAAUACCAUCAAGGCAUUCAACUUGUUUUUCUUCUCAUCUAUGAUUGCCCAUUCAACUGAUUUCACUUUGGAAACCACAUCCUAGAAGUUUUUGCUUUUGAUCUCCAGUGUUUAUUCUUCAUUUCAAAUGGAAAAUUUGUGUAAAAUCAAACUCGCAUUUUGCAGUGGAAGAAGCAAAUGUUUACAGUUUUGGAAUUGUUGCCUUGGAAAUUGUCAGUGGAAGAAGCAACAUUACUUAUAGGCCAAAAGAGGAAUGCAUCUAUCGUCUUGAUUGGCAUGAUUUGUUAUUGUGUCGGGAAGCAUCUUCAAGGAUGAAUGGCUGUCUAAACUACAAGCUGUAAAACCUGUUGGGAACCCAGGGAAAUGUAAUUUUUGUCGAAACUAGCACUAUGGUUAGUGAGAAUGUGGUAUCUGAAAUAGCACAAAGUGGGCAAGAGGAGCAAAACAAUGAAACCUAGAAGGAGAGUGGGGCUUCGAAGCCCUAGCCGGAGGAGGAUUCAAAGUCUGGACAUAAUGACCUCAUGCUCAAGUCUGUUGAUCCAAACAACCAGUAAUUUGAGUGGAAGAAGCAGAUGUUUAUAGUUUUGGAAUUGUUGCCUUGGAAAUUGUCAGUGGAAGAAGCAACACUACUUAUAGGCCAAAAGAGGAAUGCAUCUAUCGUCUUGAUUGGGCACUCAUUAAAAGGGAAGGGGAAUUUGAUGGGUCUAGUCAACCCCAGAUUGGGCUUAGACUUCAACAAGGAAAGAGAUCAUGGUGAUGAUCAACAUAGCUCUCCUGUGCACAAACGUCUCUCCAGCAGUCAGGCCAGCUAUGCCAUCAGUUGUGAACAUGCUUGAAGGCAGAAUUGCUGUUCCGGACAUUUGUUUAUGAUCCCAGUGCUCCUUGUGAUGACUUAAAGCUCAAGGAGAUGAUAUCGCUACGUCCAAGAAAAGAGCAUGGGUUUAGCAGUGGUGUGGCAUCUUAUUCAUACUAAGCUGAGUGUGUUCAUCUUUUUUUUUGUUUUUUGUUUUUUUUUUUAUAUUGAUCCUAAUUCAUGUCAAGUUAAUGAUUCAUUAUAGAUUUUAGCAUUGAGGGACAACAAUGGCAGAAUGAUUGCUCUUUAGAUAGCAAUUUUGUACUAUUAGAAAAAAAAAUAAUCUUUUUUUUAUUGAAAAUAAAAUUU